GGGCACGGGGACGAUGAGGAUUUGAACGCCCUAAGCCAGGAAGGGCCUAGAGAGACAGUGAUGGUCACCCUUGAACCCUGCGAGGAGGACAGGGGUCUCAACUGCCGAAAACCCACCACGGACCCCCCCGCCCCCCCCCCCCCCGCCAUCGCCCACGGGCCUGCUCCCUGGCCAGCCCAAGCCUCAGAGCCCAGUCUGACCCCAAGGUCCCCAAGCUUUUCACUCUAUUCCUUUGAGGUGCCACACCCUUUCCCCCCUGGGGGAUUCUGCGCAUUCUGUUCCCUCCCCAGAUGCCCUUCCGGUCACCUCCUCCAGGAAGCCGGCCUCACCCCACCCGCUGCUUGAAGCCAUCUGUUGAACAUCAGAAAGCAGGUCUGUCUCAGUCACGGUCAUGGCGGUGUCCCUGGCACAGAGCCCAGCUCACAGGAAGGGUCCGGGAAGCGUUUGCUAAACAGAGGAGGGAAGGGUUCAGGGCUGUGCCUUUGAGCCCAGAUGUUUCUUCUUGCCUUGCUGGGGAGACCCUGGCCGAGUGGGUUGCUUCCCGCUCUGCGCCCUGUUUCCCCGGGAUGGGGAGUGAGGGGAGGUUUUCUGGGCCACUGGUGAAAUCUACCCUGCUGGGUUUCAUUUCAGCCGAGUCGGUAAAUAUUUGGUCCUCUGCGGCCAGCAGCAUCUAGGCGGGGGAAGCUUCAGUGCCUUUUACGAGCCUUCCCGCAGGCGCCUAACGCGAGGUUUCCGUGGCGGGGUAUGUGGGACGCCCAGGCAGCGUCACAGCUGGCUGCCGUGAGGUGAGUAGGACUGUGGGGCCGCAAGAAGCCACCAGAGGCGUCUGGCACUUAACCCCGCCGUGCGCGGCAUCGGGAGGCCAGACCCAGGCCUCUCGUUUUGCAAACGGCUAAUGCCACAUCAUGAGAUGACAGGCGGGGUUGAAGUGGAGACUGAGCAGCAUCCCCUCCCAAGUCCGAAGGACAUACUGAAUCCUUAGGGGGAGGUAUUUCCGGCAAGGAGGUGGAAGGCCUUGUGUACGUGUAGCUCUUCUCGAAGAAUCAAAGGCCACUCUUGACCAUCAAAGGCGAAGCACCUGCUGUGUGCGGAGUACUGAGCAGUGUAAAUGCCCCGCCUCCUUGGGUCCUCAGAAAUCACGCAGCCCCUGUUACACUGACACAAGUCAGAGGGGUUCAAGGUAACUGGCUUGAGGUCACCCAGCUGGCGAGGGGCAGAGCUGUUGAGUCUGACCUUCCGGCCUGGCUUGGUCUCAUCACCCAACCCUCCCCGGCAAGGGCCACCGUCUGGAUACCCUGGAAACCACGGCGCUUCUCAAUGGUCAGGAUCCCAGGGGCGACUGGAAGGAAGGCCUGAAUCAGACCAGCAGUUCUGAGUUGGGGCCUGGGAACCUGCACGGGAAGCUGGCAUCUGCCUCCGCCCCAGAGAGAGACAGAGCAGGAGCAGGGGAGGGGCAGAGAGAGAAGGAGACACAGAAUCCGAAGCAGGUUCCAGGCUCCGAGCUGUCAGCACAGAGCCCGACGCGGGGCUCGAACCCACGAGCUGUGAGAUCAUGACCUGAACCGAAGUCUGACGCUCAACUGACUGAGCCACCCAGGCGCCUCGACCCCUAUUUAUUUUUUUAAAGUAAUCUCUGCACCCAACGCAGAGGGCUCGAUCUCACCACCCCCAGAUCAUGAGUCGCACACUCUACCACUGACCACGCCAGCUGCCCCAGACCAUCUUUGCAGCGGCGGUCGUCCGCUGAUCUGCUGACCUCGUCAGCCCUGAAGCACAAGGGAACCUACGUCUUGAAACGCCUGCCGCUGGAGACACAGCUGAGAACGAGACAGCGUAUGCCUGCGGACGUUGACAUUCUGGUGCCAGCUGCGGACAGAACGCGAUGAGGACAGGCAGGUGUGACAGUGACCAGGUGGGAAGGGAGACCUCGGGGUGGGUGGAAUCUGAGCCCCGACCUUCAAGGUCGGAAGGGGCGGUCGGCGUGGCCAGUGCCACGGCACGGCCCUCACUUCACUGGAUCCUGUCCUGAGAGCUUCCCGCGGAGCAGGACGGGGUCCCGUUGGGCCAGGAUUUGCUGCCGGAGGCGACACUGGUGGCAACAAGUAACGAGCCAGUAGCAAGCCAACAGCCACGGGCCAUCCUGCUGCUCCCGGUCACCUGCCUUUCCGGGAGCGAUCUGGGGGCCUCAGCACUGCUUUCACCUUCGCGGGGGCCACUUCCAGCCCCGAUGGCAUCAGGGACACCGGAAGUUACCCUUGAGGUCAACUCCAAAGGUGAGGCGCACACACAGAGUAGCGAGUCACCCUCGAGUCCGGCCUGCAGGGAGGAACUGUCACUUCAGCACCACGUGACCUCAGUACGUGGCCCCCGCAUCCCAGGGUGGACCCACGAGCAAGUGUCUGUCGGGCGCUGUCGGGCUGCGAGGAGGUCCUGGAUUCCCAGGGGGGUCCAAUCUGAUGACACGAACCCUUAAACUUAGAGGCUCUUCCCUGCCUGUGGUCGGAGAAGGGACUCCGGCAAGGCCGGGCUCUGCGGCGGAUAGGCGAGGGGUGGGGACAGGGCGCGGGAGGGGGACCUGGAAACCCAGGGCACCUGUUCCUGUGCCGCAGCCUCCCCAAGGAACCGGCCCUGCCCACCCUGAAGUGUGGGGCUUCUGGCCUCCAAAACCAGGGGAUGAUGAGUUGGUGCUGUUUCGAGUCACUACGUUUGUCGUAAUUUGUUAGGGCAGCCGCAGGAAAAAGCACACACCCAGUUAUCCUGCAAGUAUUGUGUGAAACGCUCCAAUCCCAAAAUGAGCACAGCACUCUGGGGACAGGAGGAGAUCACCGUGGCUGAGAACCCGGCGCCCCAGCGAGCAAAGGAGGCUGCCAGCACACGGGGUGGGGUGGGCCUGCUGUGGCCAUCCAUCAAAUCCUGCCCGGAUGAAGGCAGCACACACCCCUUUGAGACACGGGAAAGCAGUGGGCUCCAGAAGGGGCCUCAAAACUUCUUCCAGGUUCUCUGAACAGCACGAGCAAGCACCCCAGGACCUUUUCCUGAAGGGCCUCCCAGUGCCUGUCAACAUUAAGCACUUACUGUAAGGAGGCCAAAGCAGAGGGACCAUGAACUCCCUGCGGGAAGACAAGGCAGAUGGGGUGGAUCCUGAGCCCGCCCUCCUGGCCUCCACACCCAGUGCUUCCUGCUCCGAUGGUAACCCACAGAACCCCCAUCUUCAAAAAAUACUUUUAGUGGCUCUGGGCGGCUCAGUCGGUCAAGUGUCUGACUUCGGCUCAGGUCAUGAUCUCGUGGUUCGUGGGUUCGAGCCCUGCGUCGGGCUCUGUGCGGACAGCUCGGAGCCUGGACCCUGCUUCGGAUUCUGUGUCUCCCUCUCUCUCUGACCCUCCCCUGCUCGCGCUCGGCGUCUCUCUCUCAACAUUUUUUAAAUUGUGAUAAAAUACACAUAAAAUGUAACCAUUUCUAAGUGCACAGGUCAGCAGCACCAAGCACAUUCACACUGUCGUGCAGCCACCCCCACCAGCGGUGUCCAGAACUUUCCAUCUCCCCAAACUGAGACUCUGUCGCCAUGAAGCACUGACUCCCCGCCCCCCACCCCCACCCCACCCCUGGCUCCCAC